rnacentral:rRNA from 1 species
GGUUAAGCGAAUAAGCGUACACGGUGGAUGCCUAGGCAAUCAGAGGCGAUGAAGGACGUGCUAAUCUGCGAAAAGCGUCGGUAAGGUGAUAUGAACCGUUAUACCCGACGAUAUCCGAAUGGGGAAACCCAGUAUCCAAUGGAUACUAUCAUUAACUGAAUCCAUAGGUUAAUGAGGCGAACCGGGAGAACUGAAACAUCUCAGUACCCCGAGGAAAAGAAAUCAACCGAGAUUCCCCUAGUAGCGGCGAGCGAACGGGGAGCAGCCCAGAGUCUUAAUCAAUAGCAGUGUCAGGAGAACGGUCUGGAAAGUCCGGCAGUAAAGGGUGAUAGCCCCGUAUCUGAAGAUGCUGUUAUUGUGAACUCGACGAGUAGGGCGGGACACGUGUUAUCCUGUCUGAAUAUGGGGGGACCAUCCUCCAAGGCUAAAUACUCCUGAUUGACCGAUAGUGAACCAGUACCGUGAGGGAAAGGCGAAAAGAACCCCGGCGAGGGGAGUGAAAAAGAACCUGAAACCGUGUACGUACAAGCAGUAGGAGCCUCUUUAUGGGGUGACUGCGUACCUUUUGUAUAAUGGGUCAGCGACUUAUAUUCUGUAGCAAGGUUAACCGUAUAGGGGAGCCGUAGGGAAACCGAGUCUUAACUGGGCGAAUGAGUUGCAGGGUAUAGACCCGAAACCCGGUGAUCUAUCCAUGGGCAGGUUGAAGGUUGGGUAACACUAACUGGAGGACCGAACCGACUAAUGUUGAAAAAUUAGCGGAUGACUUGUGGAUGGGGGUGAAAGGCCAAUCAAACCGGGAGAUAGCUGGUUCUCCCCGAAAGCUAUUUAGGUAGCGCCUCGUGAACUCAUCUUCGGGGGUAGAGCACUGUUUCGACUAGGGGGUCAUCCCGACUUACCAACUCGAUGCAAACUGCGAAUACCGAAGAAUGUUAUCACGGGAGACACACGGCGGGUGCUAACGUCCGUCGUGAAGAGGGAAACAACCCAGACCGCCAGCUAAGGUCCCAAAGUCAUGGUUAAGUGGGAAACGAAGUGGGAAGGCUCAGACAGCCAGGAUGUUGGCUUAGAAGCAGCCAUCAUUUAAAGAAAGCGUAAUAGCUCACUGGUCGAGUCGGCCCGCGCGGAAGAUGUAACGGGGCUAAACCAUGCACCGAAGCUGCGGCAGCGACACAUAGUGUUGUUGGGUAGGGGAGCGUUCUGUAAGCCUGCGAAGGUGUACUGUGAGGUAUGCUGGAGGUAUCAGAAGUGCGAAUGCUGACAUAAGUAACGAUAAUGCGGGUGAAAAACCCGCACGCCGGAAGACCAAGGGUUCCUGUCCAACGUUAAUCGGGGCAGGGUGAGUCGACCCCUAAGGCGAGGCUGAAAAGCGUAGUCGAUGGGAAACGGGUUAAUAUUCCCGUACUGGUGGUAACUGCGAUGGGGGAACGGAGAAGGCUAGGUUGUCCGGGCGACGGUCGUCCCGGUUCAAGCAGGUAGGCAGAGUGAUUAGGCAAAUCCGGUCACUUAAUGCUGAGAUGUGAUGACGAACCACCAAGGUGGUGAAGCAAUUGAUGCCCCGCUUCCAGGAAAAGCCUCUAAGCUUCAGGUUACCAACAAUCGUACCCCAAACCGACACAGGUGGUCAGGUAGAGAAUACUCAGGCGCUUGAGAGAACUCGGGUGAAGGAACUAGGCAAAAUGGUGCCGUAACUUCGGGAGAAGGCACGCUGGCGGUAGGUAAAGUCCCUUGCGGACGGCGCUGAAGCCAGUCGAAGAUACCAGCUGGCUGCAACUGUUUAUUAAAAACACAGCACUGUGCAAACACGAAAGUGGACGUAUACGGUGUGACGCCUGCCCGGUGCUGGAAGGUUAAUUGAUGGGGUCAGCCGUAAGGCGAAGCUCCUGAUCGAAGCCCCAGUAAACGGCGGCCGUAACUAUAACGGUCCUAAGGUAGCGAAAUUCCUUGUCGGGUAAGUUCCGACCUGCACGAAUGGCGUAAUGAUGGCCAGGCUGUCUCCACCCGAGACUCAGUGAAAUUGAACUCGCUGUGAAGAUGCAGUGUACCCGCGGCAAGACGGAAAGACCCCGUGAACCUUUACUAUAGCUUGACACUGAACAUUGAGCCUUGAUGUGUAGGAUAGGUGGGAGGCUUUGAAGUGUGGACGCCAGUCUGCAUGGAGCCAACCUUGAAAUACCACCCUUUAACGUUUGAUGUUCUAACCUAGGCCCAUAAACUGGGUCGGGGACCGUGUCUGGUGGGUAGUUUGACUGGGGCGGUCUCCUCCUAAAGAGUAACGGAGGAGCACGAAGGUUGGCUAAGCAUGGUCGGACAUCAUGCGGUUAGUGCAAAGGCAUAAGCCAGCUUGACUGCGAGAGUGACGGCUCGAGCAGGUACGAAAGUAGGUCUUAGUGAUCCGGUGGUUCUGAAUGGAAGGGCCAUCGCUCAACGGAUAAAAGGUACUCCGGGGAUAACAGGCUGAUACCGCCCAAGAGUUCAUAUCGACGGCGGUGUUUGGCACCUCGAUGUCGGCUCAUCACAUCCUGGGGCUGAAGUAGGUCCCAAGGGUAUGGCUGUUCGCCAUUUAAAGUGGUACGCGAGCUGGGUUUAGAACGUCGUGAGACAGUUCGGUCCCUAUCUGCCGUGGGCGUUGGAAGAUUGAGAGGGGUUGCUCCUAGUACGAGAGGACCGGAGUGAACGCACCACUGGUGUUCGGGUUGUCAUGCCAAUGGCAUUGCCCGGUAGCUAAGUGCGGAAGAGAUAACCGCUGAAAGCAUCUAAGCGGGAAACUUGCCUCGAGAUGAGUCUUCCCUGUCGCUUUAAGCGACCUAAAGGAACGUUUAAGACUAAGACGUUGAUAGGCUGGGUGUGUAAGCGUAGCGAUACGUUGAGCUAACCAGUACUAAUGAACCGUGAGGCUUAACCUG